UGGGGAAUCUUGCGCAAUGGGCGAAAGCCUGACGCAGCCAUGCCGCGUGAGUGAUGAAGGCCUUAGGGUUGUAAAACUCUUUCACCGGGGACGAUAAUGACGGUACCCGGAGAAGAAGCCCCGGCUAACUUCGUGCCAGCAGCCGCGGUAAUACGAAGGGGGCUAGCGUUGCUCGGAAUUACUGGGCGUAAAGGGCGCGUAGGCGGAUCAGCAAGUUGGGGGUGAAAGCCCGGGGCUCAACCUCGGAAUUGCCUUCAAAACUGCUGAUCUAGAGUACGGGAGAGGUGUGUGGAACUCCGAGUGUAGAGGUGAAAUUCGUAGAUAUUCGGAAGAACACCAGUGGCGAAGGCGACACACUGGCCCGUUACUGACGCUGAGGCGCGAAAGCGUGGGGAGCAAACAGGAUUAGAUACCCUGGUAGUCCACGCUGUAAACGAUGAUUGCUAGUUGUCGGCAGGCAUGCCUGUCGGUGACGCAGCUAACGCAUUAAGCAAUCCGCCUGGGGAGUACGGUCGCAAGAUUAAAAACUCAAAUGAAUUGAC
rnacentral:rRNA from 1 species